AAAACCCUAACAUCCUAAAAUCAUUCAAAUUGAAAGGGGAAUCAAAGAUUUAUCGAAUGCAUGAGCCAGUAACUUUGAUUAUCUAAGUGAAUUUGAUAUCAAGUUAUGGAAGUUGGGCAAAGAAAGAAGAAGGAACAAGUCUAUCCAAGGCACAAGAAAUGCAAGACCUCGGUAAGUUCAUAUGAACUUUAUGUACUCUACUUGUAGAUUUAUGAAUGAUAAUAUUUAGUACUAUGAAUUUAGUGUAAGUUUCCUUAUGAUUCAUGAUUGUAUAGAUGCAAAGAGUUAUAUGGAGAAAUGUCCAAAAGAUAAUGUUUGAAGUAAAUUUGAAACAACCCGUCUAAUGGGUUGGAAUGAUAAGUAGAAUGAGUGUUGGAAUGUUUGAGAAUUUGACUUUUUCAUAACGGGUCAAAUAAUGUAAGUAUAGUGAAAGAUAUGGUACGUAGCGGUUCAUUAUAAAUGAAUCGGAAAGUGGUAUGAUGAAUGUUUCUGAAUGAAGAUGAUAAUGUUAGUAAAGUAAUAUCUUAUGUUAACGGGUCGAAUAAUGAUACGGAAUUAAAGGAUUUCAAUUGUUAUGUAUUACGAACUAACAAUGUUUUAUGGUUAUGAAUGAUAGGUAAAUCCCAUGCUUAAUCGCGGCGCGCUCGAACCGAACACACCACAUCGCCCGUCACACGCUUCCGAUUAAUGUUGUCUUUUGUAAAAAGGGUCAAAAUAGCUUUUGUUAAGUAAAUGUAAGGCUUAUGGUUAGGAUGUUUGUAACUAGUUUGGUUUUUAUCUCUUUUGAGUAAUUGGAUAAAGUACUUAUGAUGGACCUUGUAUGGUCAUAACCUUAACAUAUUUUGAAAAGUAUCGUAGGACCUAAUUUAAAUUAUGUUGUUAAAACAGGGGGUAAGUUCUUAUUACAAACGGGUCAUGCCGAAAAUUUUGUAAAAUCGUACGAACUUUAUGUUAUUAGUCGAAUGUGAAAAGUUGGGCGUUUCAAGUUGGUAUCAGAGCCCAGGUUUGAGAGAUUCAAGUAUUAGAGUAAGAUGCUUGAACUCAAACCAAAAGCUCGUAUGAAGGUGUGUUCGUUCCGCGGCGCUAUGCAAGUAAGUAAAUAAUAAAGUUGAUAUGUUUAUAGUAAGAAAUGAAAAGAACUUUAUAGGUUAUUGUUUUGAAACUGAUAUUAAGGUAAAUAACGAUGUUAAGUGGGUCCGUGUUUGAAUUACGGACCCGUAGGAAAAAGAAUCAAGUAAAACGGAUAAGCGGUUUGAAAGUUACGGCCGUUUUCGUAAAAAUAAUAAGCCGAAAACGUAUAAGUUAAGAAUUUCCUUAACCCGGAUGUUAAAUUUCAAGUUCACAUGAUAGAAUGUUAAUUUACGAUCAUGUAGGAAGAAACGGGAGGUAAAACGGAUAAACGGUUUGAAGGUUACGGCCGUUUUCGUAAAAAUGAUUAAACCGGAAAAUCUGUAGCUGGGCUGCAGCGUAACCUACGACUCAGCCGUAGGCUACGGUACUGGAGGGGCUGUUUUGUUGAUUAUUCUGUAGCUGGGCUGCAGCGUAACCUACGGCUCAGCCGUAGGCUACGGUACUGGAGGGACUCUUUUGUUGAUUAUUAAUGGACUGUAAGCUACGGUCUGUAGACCGUAGCCUACGGCAGGAUUGAUAAAAUUGUUAUAUGUUGUUGUUUGAUGAUGUAUGAGGUAAAUUAUGAUAUUUAAUAACUUUUUACACUUAUAAUACUAACAUUUAAUUUUUUUUAAUGUGGUUUAGGUCCCUAAGUAUAGGGAACUCGUUCUAAUCAAUUUCUAAAGCCUUGUAAACAAUGUUAAGAUAAAUUUGAUAUUAAGAAAGAUAAGGGAAGGCAUGUAUAUUUAUGAAAGGAUGAGAAUGUAAAUCGUUGUGAUCAAAGAUUAUGAUCUACAUGAUACGGUAUGAUCGUCAAGGACGAUGAUGUAUAAAGUAUGCAUUAUAAAGUGAAUGUAAUAUGCUAACAUGAGUUCCAAUAUGAUGAAGAGAUGCAUAAUAAAAAAAUCUAAUGAAUGUAAUGAAUGUUUUAUGUAGAUGGCGGACAAUGUAAACGUGAAUGAUAAUGAAAGCAUGAAUAUAAGUUGACUAACACGAAGGCUAUUAGUUAAAGAACAAGGAAUAAGAAGUAAGUGUAAAAAUGAAUGUAUGUUUUGAUUAACAUGUCUAGAAUGUUCAUAAUGAAGGAUAGUAUGGUUUUAUGACCUACGGAAAUGAAUUAUUGAAAGCAAGUAAUGCAUGAAUGAUAAAUAAAAGAAUGAUACGGUAUCUAAUAAAGUAUGUAAUUGUAGAUGGCGGGUGCAGUGAGUGUAAAUGAUAAUGAUAUUACCAAUAAUGAUGGUAAAGAUGAUGCUCUAUGAUAAACAGUAUGCGGUGUGGUCACGAAGUGACCGUUAGCACCGAGAAUGAUGAAUGGUAUGGUGUGGUCACGAAAUGACCGUUAACACCAAGAAUGAUGAAUGUUAUACGGUGUGGUCACAAAGUGACCGAAAAUACUAGGGAUGAUGAAUGGUAUGCGGUGUGGGCACGAAGUAGCCGUCAACACCGAGGAUGAUGAAAGGGAUGCGACAUGGUCACUAAGUGGCUAUUAACACCCGGAAUUAUGAAAUAAAAGCAUGAUAACCAUAAUUAAAAUGACAAUGGUCAAUAAGACGUAAGCAUGAUGGCAUGAAGUAACAUAUAAUGAAGUGAAAAGUAUAUAUAAAAUUAACGAAAGUGUAAUAAGUAAGGGAAUGAAAGUCAUUGAAAUAUGUUAGGCAUACUGACAUAUUUCCUAAACUAUGAUGUAGAAUAUUUCUUAAGGAAAAUCCAAUAGUUUUGUUAAAGUUUCUGAAAAUGCAACCUAUGAUAAUUAGGAUCCUCUAAAUGUCAACCCGGUCAUGUCGAAAUGUUUCGAAGUAAGAACAUAUAUGAUGGAAGGUUGUGAAUGAAGUUCUAGUUGUGUUUAUCAACCCUAUAAUGAGAGAUAUGUGGUGUGGUCAUAAAGGACCGUUAACACCUAGCAUGAAAGAAAGGAAAGUAUAAAAAUUUAAAAUGUUAGAAU
rnacentral:lncRNA from 1 species